rnacentral:rRNA from 1 species
CUUUAUUGGAGAGUUUGAUCCUGGCUCAGGACGAACGCUGGCGGCAUGCCUAAUACAUGCAAGUCGAGCGGACUUGAAGAGAAGCUUGCUUCUCUGAUGGUUAGCGGCGGACGGGUGAGUAACACGUAGGCAACCUGCCCUCAAGCUUGGGACAACUACCGGAAACGGUAGCUAAUACCGAAUAGUUGUUUUCUUCUCCUGAAGAGAACUGGAAAGACGGAGCAAUCUGUCACUUGGGGAUGGGCCUGCGGCGCAUUAGCUAGUUGGUGGGGUAACGGCUCACCAAGGCGACGAUGCGUAG